AGGAUCACCCUUGACAAGACCUUCGAGGAGAGGGACACGCUCAACUACAACAUUGUGAAGUCAAUCAAUGAGGCAGCUGAAACUUGGGGUUUGAAGUGUCUUCGCUACGAAAUCAGGGACAUCACUCCUCCAGAUGGAGUCAAGAAGGCCAUGGAGAUGCAGGCCGCAGCAGAGCGCAAGAAACGUGCUCAAAUCCUUGAGUCUGAAG